UACGUAGGUGGCAAGCGUUGUCCGGAUUUAUUGGGUUUAAAGGGUGCGUAGGUGGCCCCGUAAGUCAGUGGUGAAAUAUCUCAGCUUAACUGAGAGGGUGCCAUUGAUACUGCGGGGCUUGAGUACAGAUGAGGUAGGCGGAAUUGACGGUGUAGCGGUGAAAUGCAUAGAUAUCGUCAAGAACACCGAUAGCGAAGGCAGCUUACCAAGCUGUAACUGACACUGAGGCACGAAAGUGUGGGGAUCAAACAGG
rnacentral:rRNA from 1 species